rnacentral:rRNA from 1 species
UACGAAGGGGGCUAGCGUUGUUCGGAAUUACUGGGCGUAAAGCGCGCGCAGGCGGUCUUCCAAGUCAGUGGUGAAAGCCCGGGGCUCAACUCCGGAAUUGCCUUUAAGACUGCAUCGCUAGAAUUGUGGAGAGGUAAGUGGAAUUCCGAGUGUAGAGGUGAAAUUCGUAGAUAUUCGGAAGAACACCAGUGGCGAAGGCGACUUACUGGACACAUAUUGACGCUGAGGUGCGAAAGCGUGGGGAGCAA